rnacentral:lncRNA from 1 species
GAUGUCCUACAGAAUUUUCAACGAUACGACGCAUCAUAGAUACUCCUGGAUGACCGAGUCUUUCGUGCCAAAGGGAAAGUAGUUUUGGGUCUAUGACUUUGGGGAUGUUGACACUAUGAGAUUCAAUAACUCGUAUAUUCGUGAUAUAUAAUCCCGAAGAAACCGAGUGAAAUUUUUCUAGGACCUUUUUAUUGUCAACGGUGUUUGAGGUGAUGAGAAGGUAUUCUUUUUCAUUCUCAUUAGUAGUUUCAACGUGAAACCCAUUAAGACGAAUAUCUUUAAAACUCAGUAGGUUUCGAGGAGAAGGUAUUCUUUUUCAUUCUCAUUAGUAGUUUCAACGUGAAACCCAUUAAGACGAAUAUCUUUAAAACUCAGUAGGUU